GUAGCAGCCCUGCAGUUGUAGUGUCCUC
rnacentral:piRNA from 1 species